rnacentral:rRNA from 1 species
AGUGAACGCUGGCGGUAGGCCUAACACAUGCAAGUCGAACGGCAGCACAGGAGAGCUUGCUCUCUGGGUGGCGAGUGGCGGACGGGUGAGGAAUACAUCGGAAUCUACCUUUUCGUGGGGGAUAACGUAGGGAAACUUACGCUAAUAACGCAUACGACCUACGGGUGAAAGUGGGGGACCGCAAGGCCUCAGGCGGUUAGAUGAGCCUAUGUCCGAUUAGCUAGUUGGCGGGGUAAUGGCCCACCAAGGCGACGAUCGGUAGCUGGUCUGAGAGGAUGAUCAGCCACACUGGAACUGAGACACGGUCCAGACUCCUACGGGAGGCAGCAGUGGGGAAUAUUGGACAAUGGGCGCAAGCCUGAUCCAGCCAUACCGCGUGGGUGAAGAAGGCCUUCGGGUUGUAAAGCCCUUUUGUUGGGAAAGAAAUCCUGUCGAUUAAUACUCGGUGGGGAUGACGGUACCCAAAGAAUAAGCACCGGCUAACUCCGUGCCAGCAGCCGCGGUAAUAC